CCUACGGGAGGCAGCAGUGGGGAAUAUUGCACAAUGGGGGAAACCCUGAUGCAGCGACGCCGCGUGAAGGAAGAAGUAUUUCGGUAUGUAAACUUCUAUCAGCAGGGAAGAAAAUGAUGGUACCUGACUAAGAAGCCACGGCUAACUACUUGCCAGCAGCCGCGGUAAUCCGUAGGGGGCAAGCGUUAUCCGGAUUUACUGGGUGUAAAGGGAGAGCAGGCGGCAAUGCAAGCCUGGUGUGAAAGGCGGGGGCCCAACCCCCGGACUGCUCUGGGAACUGUAUAGCGAGAGUGCAGGAGAGGCAAGUGGAAUUCCUAGUGUAGCGGUGAAAUGCGUAGAUAUUAGGAGGAACACCAGUGGCGAAGGCGGCUUGCUGGACUGUAACUGACGUUGAGGCACGAAAGCGUGGGGAGCAAACAGGAUUAGAUACCCCUGUAGUC
rnacentral:rRNA from 1 species